CCUUGAUUUAGAGAUGGGAACUGGACACUAAGCACUAGGAUGAGAGAGGGCACUUGAUGGGCAGAAGCUUCAGGGGCAGGAGAAUCUGAGGAAGGAGGAAAAGCAGCAUGAGAUUUCUGCUGUCCCUGCCGACUACUCCAAGUCCAAUUCUAUACAGAACUGUGAGAUCAGAGACCCACCUCAAGUAUGGAGGGAGCACCAGAACAGCAGAAAAACUUUGCCUUGAGAACAAUGGAGCUGCCCUCUAGCCCCACUCAUGGCACUGGUGACCUCUCCCAGAGGAGACCGAACAGAACAGUGGAAACAGAAGCCAGACCUGCGUGGGGGUUAGGGAGGGAAUGGGAAGUAACAAGCAAUA